GUAUUGAUUGCUAACUUCUAAUUUUUUGUUAAACCAAAAUUGGCACUGGGCUGUUUGGCACUCUGGUCCCAGGGAAUAUGAUCUAUGAGAAAGCUUUUCACAAAAAGGACUGAUCACCUAAGAAAAACAGUUUCAUGCCAGAAAGAGACUUCAAGCACAAGAAUCUUAUCCUACUUCUGGGGAAAAUUAAAGAAGUACUGAACAGAAAUUUCUAAAUGCCUCCCUGGGACCGAGCCAAGGAUGAAGGUCGGCAAAAGUCUGACUUAGAGAAGUAGACCCUUGCUUGGGGGAAGGACUGGGGGGAAAAGGGAGAAGAGGAAUGUUGGAGAGACUCCAGGUACUGGCAGGUUUCCAUCCGAGCUCACUGUGGACGCCCUGAAAGGCAGUCUUACAGGAAGGGGGAAGAAAUAUUUUGUUCUAGCUUCUGUUCUUCACAUGUACUCCCAACCGGCUA
rnacentral:lncRNA from 1 species